rnacentral:lncRNA from 1 species
UGAGUGUUGACACACCGAAAUUCAGGAGGCUUCUGAACCCCGCAAAACAGGGGUCUGACAGAUCUGUCAGGGCACACCUGCUUUAGGGGACCGGCCUUCCUACCAGGAAUGCUCAUUUUUAAAAGCUUUCAAGAGCCAUCUUCCGUGUACACCUAACGUUUAAAGAAGGGGUUUAUUUUCAGGGCUGAUUUGUCCGGGCGCCUUGGGCGGCCCCGCUGUCCCGCGGGGCGCAGGAGCGCGGUGGGGCCGCGGCUCUGCCGGGCAGGGCUCGGGGGGGCUGCCCUUGCCAGGCGGGACCGGCAGCCCGAGCACUGCCAGAACACAACAGCCUGUGUAAUCACAUCUUCCCGGGAACUGUGUUAGCUCCGUGGGGAGCUCCGUCCAUUUGGAGGGGGGGAGGAGGAGGAGGAGGAGGGAAGAGACUUGCUUUGGUAGGGAGGGCGAAGGGGGGGUAAGGUGAAAAGGGUCAGUGAGUAACCCAGCUCUCGCUCGAAUAUGAUAAAGGUAAUUGUUGCUCUCAAGUGAGCACCGGGUGCUUCCUGGCUCUGGCUGCUCUCGCUGCUCGUGUCUGUGUUAUGCAGGCGUCUGCUCUGCCGAGCAGGGCUUUGCGAGAAGACAGAAGAGGUUUGAUUGACCCUGUUGGGAGCGUGAGCUGUGGGCUCUGUGGAUGCUUUGCUGUGACGGAGGGCCGAGGGCUGACCAAGUCGUGGGGAGGAUUUGUAUGUGGGAAGAGAGGAGAUGGCUGUGCAGCGUGCUCCCGAAUCUGCUCUGAGCUUGCUGAUGCUGGAGACCAACAUGAUCCCACAACCCAACAGAGGUUUGCUGUGACUGACUUUAUGGAUACAGAGAAGACACAUUUGCUAAAGGUCACCUGUAUUUCAUGACAGAAUUUACAGCCUCAGCCAGGGAGACAGAUGUGCCUGUUUGUUGGGAGCUCCUCUGAUGGCAGGAGCUGCCUGCAUCCCCAUCCAGGCUCUCACCAAGCAACGAGGCUGUGACCAACAGGAUGAGACCCUUCAGCACAGCCUGGCCGUGCUGUUGGCAAGGAGACUGUAGCUGUGUGCUACAGAGAACGGGUUUUGUUCCUUUCCUUGGGGAUGAAGGCUUCCUAUUUGGUGACCAGAACCCAUAUCAGCAGCUGCCACCAUCUUCAGGCUGCAGUGUCAGUUGUGCAAAUGGAUUUAGUCAAAAUACUGUGGCAAAUAAAGGACAUCUGC